AGCUACAGGCUUAACACAUGCAAGUCGAGGGGCAGCAUGGUCUUAGCUUGCUAAGGCCGAUGGCGACCGGCGCACGGGUGAGUAACACGUAUCCAACCUGCCGUCUACUCUUGGACAGCCUUCUGAAAGGAAGUUUAAUACAAGAUGGCAUCAUGAGUCCGCAUGUUCACAUGAUUAAAGGUAUUCCGGUAGACGAUGGGGAUGCGUUCCAUUAGAUAGUAGGCGGGGUAACGGCCCACCUAGUCUUCGAUGGAUAGGGGUUCUGAGAGGAAGGUCCCCCACAUUGGAACUGAGACACGGUCCAAACUCCUACGGGAGGCAGCAGUGAGGAAUAUUGGUCAAUGGGCGAGAGCCUGAACCAGCCAAGUAGCGUGAAGGAUGACUGCCCUAUGGGUUGUAAACUUCUUUUAUAAAGGAAUAAAGUCGGGUAUGGAUACCCGUUUGCAUGUACUUUAUGAAUAAGGAUCGGCUAACUCCGUGCCAGCAGCCGCGGUAAUACAGAGGAUCCGAGCGUUAUCCGGAUUUAUUGGGUUUAAAGGGAGCGUAGAUGGAUGUUUAAGUCAGUUGUGAAAGUUUGCGGCUCAACCGUAAAAUUGCAGUUGAUACUGGAUAUCUUGAGUGCAGUUGAGGCAGGCGGAAUUCGUGGUGUAGCGGUGAAAUGCUUAGAUAUCACGAAGAACUCCGAUUGCGAAGGCAGCCUGCUAAGCUGCAACUGACAUUGAGGCUCGAAAGUGUGGGUAUCAAACAGGAUUAGAUACCCUGGUAGUCCACACGGUAAACGAUGAAUACUCGCUGUUUGCGAUAUACGGCAAGCGGCCAAGCGAAAGCGUUAAGUAUUCCACCUGGGGAGUACGCCGGCAACGGUGAAACUCAAAGGAAUUGACGGGGGCCCGCACAAGCGGAGGAACAUGUGGUUUAAUUCGAUGAUAUGCGAGGAACCUUACCCGGGCUUAAAUUGCAGAUGAAUUACGGUGAAAGCCGUAAGCCGCAAGGCAUCUGUGAAGGUGCUGCAUGGUUGUCGUCAGCUCGUGCCGUGAGGUGUCGGCUUAAGUGCCAUAACGAGCGCAACCCUUGUUGUCAGUUACUAACAGGUUCCGCUGAGGACUCUGACAAGACUGCCAUCGUAAGAUGUGAGGAAGGUGGGGAUGACGUCAAAUCAGCACGGCCCUUACGUCCGGGGCUACACACGUGUUACAAUGGGGGGUACAGAGGGCCGCUACCACGCGAGUGGAUGCCAAUCCCCAAAACCUCUCUCAGUUCGGACUGGAGUCUGCAACCCGACUCCACGAAGCUGGAUUCGCUAGUAAUCGCGCAUCAGCCACGGCGCGGUGAAUACGUUCCCGGGCCUUGUACACACCGCCCGUCAAGCCAUGGGAGCCGGGGGUACCUGAAGUGCGUAACCGCGAGGAGCGCCCUAGGGUAAAACUGGUGACUGGGGCUAAGUAG
rnacentral:rRNA from 1 species